CAAUAGCGUAUAUUAAAGUUGUUGUGGUUAAAAGCUCGUAGUUGGAUCUCGGCGGACUGAGGGCGGUUUGCUUGCUAGUAUUACUGCCCUAUAGUCCGUAGUUUUGCCAGAGGUUUCGGGGUGCUCUUAAUCGAGUGUCCCGGGAUGCUGGCAGGUUUACUUUGAAAAAUUAGAGUGCUCAAAGCAGGCUAUUACGCCUGAAUAUUCGUGCAUGGAAUAAUAGAAUAGGACCUCGGUUCCAGUUUUCGUUGGUUUGCGAAUCCUUGAGGUAAUGAUUAAUAGGGACUGCCGGGGGCAUACGUAUUGCGGCGGGAGAGGUGAAAUUCGUGGAUCGCCGCAAAGACGAACGACAGCGAAAGCAUUUGCCAAGAAUGUUCUCAUUAAUCAAGAACGAAAGUCAGAGGUUCGAAGAUGAUCAGAUACC
rnacentral:rRNA from 1 species